ensembl:snRNA U6 U6 spliceosomal RNA
GUGUUUGCUUCAGCAGCACAUAAACUAAGAUUGGAAUGAUACAGAGAAGAUUAGCAUGACCCCUCCCUGUACAAGGAUGACAUGCAAAUUUGUUAAGCAUUCAUAUUUUAA